UGCAGUCGACGAUGAAGCCCAGCUUGCUGGGUGGAUUAGUGGCGAACGGGUGAGUAACACGUGAGUAACCUGCCCUUAACUCUGGGAUAAGCCUGGGAAACUGGGUCUAAUACCGGAUAGGAGCGUCCACCGCAUGGUGGGUGUUGGAAAGAUUUAUCGGUUUUGGAUGGACUCGCGGCCUAUCAGCUUGUUGGUGAGGUAAUGGCUCACCAAGGCGACGACGGGUAGCCGGCCUGAGAGGGUGACCGGCCACACUGGGACUGAGACACGGCCCAGACUCCUACGGGAGGCAGCAGUGGGGAAUAUUGCACAAUGGGCGCAAGCCUGAUGCAGCGACGCCGCGUGAGGGAUGACGGCCUUCGGGUUGUAAACCUCUUUCAGUAGGGAAGAAGCGAAAGUGACGGUACCUGCAGAAGAAGCACCGGCUAACUACGUGCCAGCAGCCGCGGUAAUACGUAGGGUGCGAGCGUUAUCCGGAAUUAUUGGGCGUAAAGAGCUCGUAGGCGGUUUGUCGCGUCUGUCGUGAAAGUCCGGGGCUUAACCCCGGAUCUGCGGUGGGUACGGGCAGACUAGAGUGCAGUAGGGGAGACUGGAAUUCCUGGUGUAGCGGUGGAAUGCGCAGAUAUCAGGAGGAACACCGAUGGCGAAGGCAGGUCUCUGGGCUGUAACUGACGCUGAGGAGCGAAAGCAUGGGGAGCGAACAGGAUUAGAUACCCUGGUAGUCCAUGCCGU
rnacentral:rRNA from 1 species